GACACCAAGAGGGAAUAUGCCCUGUAUGAUGAAAAGAAAAUAAUAAAAGGAAGAAAAAUGAGGGAGAGAGAAAACACUUGAUCCCUGCUCUUCAAUCCUUCAGUAAAGAGUGUGGCCGACUUUUUGUUUCUUCCGAAUAUCAGAACACCAGACACAGGCCUGUCCAACCUGUUUUAAAACUGGUUUUAUCAGUCGUUUCUCUUUGCCCUCUCCUUACCUGUGAAGCGUCCUUAGUCUUUCCCCUCCUAACUCGUCAAAAAGAUGAGGUCGGUCAUGCUCUAAUAUUUUAAGAACAGUGUUCUUCUGUUUGAAGACAAAAGAACGUAUUGUGAUGAUUAAAAUAAUUAUCUAAAACUUCAGACUUCUAUUUGAUGUACAUGUUUAAUAAUAGCUACUAUAGUAUAUAAAAACUAUAUCGACCAUCAUGGAUUAUUUGCCGAGUGGCUUUGUAUAGAUAAAAACUUUUAAGUG